UUAAGUUAUUAAGGGCGCACGGUGGAUGCCUUGGCACUAGAAGCCGAUGAAGGACGUUACUAACGACGAUAUGCUUUGGGGAGCUGUAAGUAAGCUUUGAUCCAGAGAUUUCCGAAUGGGGAAACCCAGCAUGAGUUAUGUCAUGUUAUCGAUAUGUGAAUACAUAGCAUAUCAGAAGGCACACCCGGAGAACUGAAACAUCUUAGUACCCGGAGGAAGAGAAAGAAAAUUCGAUUCCCUUAGUAGCGGCGAGCGAAACGGGAAGAGCCCAAACCAACAAGCUUGUUGUUGGGGUUGUAGGACACUCUAUACGGAGUUACAAAGGACGACAUUAGACGAAUCAUCUGGAAAGAUGAAUCAAAGAAGGUAAUAAUCCUGUAGUCGAAAAUGUUGUCUCUCUUGAGUGGAUCCUGAGUACGACGGAGCACGUGAAAUUCCGUCGGAAUCUGGGAGGACCAUCUCCUAAGGCUAAAUACUCUCUAGUGACCGAUAGUGAACCAGUACCGUGAGGGAAAGGUGAAAAGCACCCCGGAAGGGGAGUGAAAUAGAACCUGAAACCGUGUGCUUACAAGUAGUCAGAGCCCGUUAAUGGGUGAUGGCGUGCCUUUUGUAGAAUGAACCGGCGAGUUACGAUUUGAUGCAAGGUUAAGCAGUAAAUGUGGAGCCGUAGCGAAAGCGAGUCUGAAUAGGGCGUUUAGUAUUUGGUCGUAGACCCGAAACCAGGUGAUCUACCCUUGGUCAGGUUGAAGUUCAGGUAACACUGAAUGGAGGACCGAACCGACUUACGUUGAAAAGUGAGCGGAUGAACUGAGGGUAGCGGAGAAAUUUCAAUCGAACCUGGAGAUAGCUGGUUCUCUCCGAAAUAGCUUUAGGGCUAGCCUCAAGUGAUGAUUAUUGGAGGUAGAGCACUGUUUGGACGAGGGGCCCCUCUCGGGUUACCGAAUUCAGACAAACUCCGAAUGCCAAUUAAUUUAACUUGGGAGUCAGAACAUGGGUGAUAAGGUCCGUGUUCGAAAGGGAAACAGCCCAGACCACCAGCUAAGGUCCCAAAAUAUAUGUUAAGUGGAAAAGGAUGUGGCGUUGCCCAGACAACUAGGAUGUUGGCUUAGAAGCAGCCAUCAUUUAAAGAGUGCGUAAUAGCUCACUAGUCGAGUGACACUGCGCCGAAAAUGUACCGGGGCUAAACAUAUUACCGAAGCUGUGGAUUGUCCUUUGGACAAUGGUAGGAGAGCGUUCUAAGGGCGUUGAAGCAUGAUCGUAAGGACAUGUGGAGCGCUUAGAAGUGAGAAUGCCGGUGUGAGUAGCGAAAGACGGGUGAGAAUCCCGUCCACCGAUUGACUAAGGUUUCCAGAGGAAGGCUCGUCCGCUCUGGGUUAGUCGGGUCCUAAGCUGAGGCCGACAGGCGUAGGCGAUGGAUAACAGGUUGAUAUUCCUGUACCACCUAUAAUCGUUUUAAUCGAUGGGGGGACGCAGUAGGAUAGGCGAAGCGUGCGAUUGGAUUGCACGUCUAAGCAGUAAGGCUGAGUAUUAGGCAAAUCCGGUACUCGUUAAGGCUGAGCUGUGAUGGGGAGAAGACAUUGUGUCUUCGAGUCGUUGAUUUCACACUGCCGAGAAAAGCCUCUAGAUAGAAAAUAGGUGCCCGUACCGCAAACCGACACAGGUAGUCAAGAUGAGAAUUCUAAGGUGAGCGAGCGAACUCUCGUUAAGGAACUCGGCAAAAUGACCCCGUAACUUCGGGAGAAGGGGUGCUCUUUAGGGUUAACGCCCAGAAGAGCCGCAGUGAAUAGGCCCAAGCGACUGUUUAUCAAAAACACAGGUCUCUGCUAAACCGUAAGGUGAUGUAUAGGGGCUGACGCCUGCCCGGUGCUGGAAGGUUAAGAGGAGUGGUUAGCUUCUGCGAAGCUACGAAUCGAAGCCCCAGUAAACGGCGGCCGUAACUAUAACGGUCCUAAGGUAGCGAAAUUCCUUGUCGGGUAAGUUCCGACCCGCACGAAAGGCGUAACGAUUUGGGCACUGUCUCAACGAGAGACUCGGUGAAAUCAUAGUACCUGUGAAGAUGCAGGUUACCCGCGACAGGACGGAAAGACCCCGUGGAGCUUUACUGUAGCCUGAUAUUGAAAUUCGGCACAGCUUGUACAGGAUAGGUAGGAGCCUUUGAAACGUGAGCGCUAGCUUACGUGGAGGCGCUGGUGGGAUACUACCCUAGCUGUGUUGGCUUUCUAACCCGCACCACUUAUCGUGGUGGGAGACAGUGUCAGGCGGGCAGUUUGACUGGGGCGGUCGCCUCCUAAAAGGUAACGGAGGCGCUCAAAGGUUCCCUCAGAAUGGUUGGAAAUCAUUCAUAGAGUGUAAAGGCAUAAGGGAGCUUGACUGCGAGACCUACAAGUCGAGCAGGGUCGAAAGACGGACUUAGUGAUCCGGUGGUUCCGCAUGGAAGGGCCAUCGCUCAACGGAUAAAAGCUACCCCGGGGAUAACAGGCUUAUCUCCCCCAAGAGUUCACAUCGACGGGGAGGUUUGGCACCUCGAUGUCGGCUCAUCGCAUCCUGGGGCUGUAGUCGGUCCCAAGGGUUGGGCUGUUCGCCCAUUAAAGCGGUACGCGAGCUGGGUUCAGAACGUCGUGAGACAGUUCGGUCCCUAUCCGUCGUGGGCGUAGGAAAUUUGAGAGGAGCUGUCCUUAGUACGAGAGGACCGGGAUGGACAUACCUCUGGUGUACCAGUUGUCGUGCCAACGGCAUAGCUGGGUAGCUAUGUGUGGACGGGAUAAGUGCUGAAAGCAUCUAAGCAUGAAGCCCCCCUCAAGAUGAGAUUUCCCAACUUCGGUUAUAAGAUCCCUCAAAGAUGAUGAGGUUAAUAGGUUCGAGGUGGAAGCAUGGUGACAUGUGGAGCUGACGAAUACUAAUCGAUCGAAGACUUAAUCAA
rnacentral:rRNA from 1 species